GGAUCUCCGAUCUGGUUCAUAACGUCUUCCCCACGGAUCACAAAAUCCAGUCUGCACCUUUGUUUCCUCCUCCUAAAAUCCAAAGUCUCAACCCAUCAAAUGCAACCACAACAACAACAACAACAACAACAACAAAUCACAGGUGUCUCUAAUGGUAGUUGUCCAGGCAUCAAAGCUCAACCUUACAAAUCCUGCCUUUUCUCUUCCUUCUUCCUCCUCUCCACAAAUCUCUUCCCUUCUCUUUGAACCCACCUCUCUUUCUUUGGCUCUUAUGCACUCUGACUCUUCUCUCUCUCUCUAUCCUUCUUCCUCGCCUCUUUAUAUUUCUUCCCUCCCUCCCCCUCAAACCCUAAUCCCUCCUCCCUCAUCUUCUUCCACUUUCCUCCUCCUUCGCCCUCAAAAUCCUAACCCUAAUCUGAAUCCCACUAAUGGGUCGUCCCCGCGUGUUCUUUUUAUCGUGGGCGGUCCGCACAGCGGUGGCUCCCGGGUUCUGCUCCGGUUUUAUGCUCUGUGGAGGGAUAACAAGGGCUUUACCAGAGCUCGAGUUGUUGGCAAUCAUAGAGGGAUUGAAUUUGAUCAGAAACUUGGCGUUUUCUUGAAUGUUAAUCAUGGGAUUUCCAUCAAGAUUGCUGGGUCGAUCAAUUUUUUCACUUUGUAUUCUGUUUCGAGCUCCAAGAUUUGGGUUUUCGGGGUCAAAUUGUUGGACGAGGGUGAUACCGAUGGUGGAGUUGUAACGGUGAAGUUGAUCAAGUGUGCUGUGAUCGAGUGUUCUAGGCCGGUUUGGUCUAUUAGCGUCUCGUGUGGUUUUUUGAUUUUCGGGGAAGAGAAUGGAGUUAGGGUGUGGAGUUUGAGGAAUUUGGUGAAAGGGAAGGUGAGGAAAAUGAAGAGUCAUAUUAGUUUGAAUGGAAAAUUGGAGGGUAAAGGAAUGCGUUUGCCAAAUGGGGUGACGAUGGAUAGUGUUCAUGGACGUGGGUCGAAUUCAGAGAUCGGUUCCAAUGGUCAUUUGGACAGUAAGACUGGGAAGCAGGGUGUAUCUGUAAAGUGGAGGUCAGCUAAAUACAGACAAGAAUCUAGUGAAGGUGGUUCAUGUUUUGUGGCAUUUAAAGAGGAGAUUGUUAACUUGAAAUCUAAGACUUGGCCACUUAUGUCACUGAAGGCAAUUUCCACCCAAGCACUGUCUCCAAAACAGUUCUUGAUCCUGGACUCUGCUGGAGAUUUACACAUCUUGCAUGUGGCUAAUGCUGUUUCAGGAUCAAGCAUGACUUGUAGCAUGAGGCAGCUUCCUCACAUUAUGGAGGUGCAAAAGCUUGUGGUUCUUCCUGAAAUUUCCUUAAGAGCACAAACUUUUUGGGUAAUGGAUGCAUUCUAUUCCUUGCAUAUGGUUGCUCUACGUGAGGGUGAUGCUAUUGUUAAUGAAAAUGGUGGAAAUGAGAGGGAAGAGAAGCCAAUGCAAAUAUCAGUUGUUCAAGCAAUUUUUGCCGCUGAGAAGAUUCAAGAUGCUGUACCUAUUGCUGGAAAUGGUAUUUUGAUUCUGGGUCAAGGAAGCUUAUACGUGUAUGCAAUUUCCUGAAAUUGUUUGGCAAUCACAAUUUUUCAGAGACAUCUAUUCCUUGCCAGGUUAGAUGUUAUAUAACCUUUUGAAUGAGUUCCUGGUUCAAUGUUUUUGCACAAUGAUGGUCAUGCGUUAGUCCCUGAUUUGCUAACAUUUUGUUCAUCUUAAUGCUGCCAAAGUCAUGAGCUUCUGUUCUUUCCAUCUUACAGUGCACUAGAUUCUGGGAACAUUGAGCCAUUGAAGGUUCGUGUGUGCGUGUGCGUGUGCGUGUGCGUGUGUUAUGUGUGUGUUAAAAGAAGGUUUGUAUGGUUGGAAUUAAUUUAUUGUUGACAUCAGAGCAGCUUUAAUGUUUGACCUUUUGCAAUAUGUUAGCAUCCUAUCACCAGCAAUAAUCAUAAUUUUCAUAUUUAAUUCACAAUUUAACUGUUAUGGUUCCGAUUUAUGGAUCUUAUCAUAGGAUUUUGUUAUUAGUAUGGGCUCUUCAAAGAUAACCGAAUAAUCUCGAGUAAGAAAGUACUUAACAAUUUUCCUAGAUUUCUUAUUGUUUAAAAAUCUGUCAAAGAAAGACAGUAUCUACUUGUACAGGAGAAAGGAUAGUUGUCUAGAAGUUUUUUUCAGGAUUAACUACUCCCUUGUCCUUAUCUAGACUUAUUCCCUCUAAUACACAUGCCCAUGCUUAACACUUCAUUUUACAUACAACACAUAUUGACCUAUUCUCUCGAAUACACUUGUUCACCCACUGAACAAAUCAUUUGCUUUUUCUAAUAAACCAUAGUAUUGCCCAUAACAUUGAUGAACUUUACUCCGAUGUUAAAUGGGAAUGGAUUUCUAUUUCUAUUUGACUCGGUAGGAAUCACGAAUUCACUUGGCCAUAACUGAAAAUCAAAUUAGAAUAUAAUUUUUGGUCUAAUAUGGAUAAGUUACAAAUAUAAUUCAAACGUCCUCUUAUUUUUUAGGCAAUGACAUUAUUAUACUUUUUUAUUGAAAAUUGUAAAAGCUAGAUCAGGUUCUUAACCCUUAUGGUUACUCCAACUAAGUGAAUUUAGUUGUCAUGAAAUAUUCCAACAUUAAAAUUGAUAAUGUGCAGAUCCCUUUUGGGCUCUUUUCUUUAUUUUCUCUCCUUUCUCACACCUUAUUACCAACCCAACACCGUCCUCAUCUUUCUUUUCCUUGGCUAAAUUGCCACUAGUCACCAAAUGCACCAGAAAGCAUGGUGUAGCUGCACUCUUCAUCAAAAUCAAACAGCUCGCUAGCUACCUCCUCUGACACCAAAAGCCACCAGAAAUUCCCUCACCCCUUUCCUAGUCGCACCCAUCCAUCAUCUUUCACCUCUGUUUCACAUUCUGGGUUUUAUGUUUGAAGAAAAAACAGGGAGAAUGGCAAGAGCAUGAGGGUAAUCACUUGAAGGAGUUGAACUGUGAGUGAAGGAAUAGAGAAAGAGCAUGAGGGAAAUCACUUAUAGAAUUGAACUGUGAGUGAAGGAAUAGAGAAAAAGCAGCUGAGAGCUGGGGAUUUUCCUAUAUUUUUGUGUAUGGGUUUGCGGGACAGAGCAUGGAGCAUGGAGAUAGGACAGGAGAGUCACUGGUAGCUUAACAGUAACGAA